UACGAAGGUGGCAAGCGUUGUUCGGAUUUACUGGGCGUACAGGGAGCGUAGGCGGUUGGAUAAGCCCUCCGUGAAAUCUCCAGGCUUAACCUGGAAAGUGCAGAGGGGACUGUUCAGCUAGAGGAUGGGAGAGGAGCGCGGAAUUCCCGGUGGCGGUGAAAUGCGUAGAGAUCGGGAGGAAGGCCGGUGGCGAAGGCGGCGCUCUGGAACAUUUCUGACGCUGAGGCUCGAAAGCGUGGGGAGCGAACAGG
rnacentral:rRNA from 1 species